rnacentral:rRNA from 1 species
UACGUAUGGAGCAAGCGUUAUCCGGAUUUACUGGGCGUAAAGGGAGCGUAGGCGGCCUGCCAAGUCAGAUGUGAAAUCCACGGGCUCAACCCGUGAACUGCAUUUGAAACUGUUUCCCUUGAGUGUCGGAGAGGUAAUCGGAAUUCCUUGUGUAGCGGUGAAAUGCGUAGAUAUAAGGAAGAACACCAGUGGCGAAGGCGGAUUACUGGACGAUAACUGACGGUGAGGCGCGAAAGCGUGGGGAGCAAACAGG